CCUACGGGAGGCAGCAGUGGGGAAUAUUGGGCAAUGGAGGAAACUCUGACCCAGCGACGCCGCGUGCGGGAUGAAGGCCUUCGGGUUGUAAACCGCUUUCAGCAGGGAAGAAGCGAAAGUGACGGUACCUGCAGAAGAAGCACCGGCUAACUAUGUGCCAGCAGCCGCGGUAAUACAUAGGGUGCAAGCGUUGUCCGGAAUUAUUGGGCGUAAAGAGCUCGUAGGUGGUUCGUCACGUCGGAUGUGAAAAUCUGGGGCUUAACCCCAGACCUGCAUUCGAUACGGGCGAGCUUGAGUAUGGUAGGGGAGUCUGGAAUUCCUGGUGUAGCGGUGGAAUGCGCAGAUAUCAGGAGGAACACCAAUGGCGAAGGCAGGACUCUGGGCCAUUACUGACACUGAGGAGCGAAAGCGUGGGGAGCGAACAGGAUUAGAUACCCUGGUAGUCCACGCCGUAAACGGUGGGCACUAGUUGUGGGGACCUUCCAUGGUCUCUGCGACGCAGCUAACGCAUUAAGUGCCCGCCUGGGGAGUACGGAUCGCAAGAAUUAAAACUUAAAUUGAAUUGAGGCUGAGCGNGCGAGACGACGACGAGGAGAGG
rnacentral:rRNA from 1 species